rnacentral:rRNA from 1 species
GACGAACGCUGGCGGCGUGCCUAAAACAUGCAAGUCGAGCGAGAUCCAUCCGGUGCUUGCACCGGUGAAGAUCUAGCGGCGAACGGGUGAGUAACACGUGAGCAACCUGCCCCGAUGUCUGGGAUAACUCGAGGAAACUCGGGCUAAUACCGGAUGUCGUCUUCGGACCGCAUGGUCUGAUGACGAAAGAUUUAUCGCUU